rnacentral:lncRNA from 1 species
UAUAGUCAGAGUGUUGCAUUGAAGGUGAUGGAGGAAGAUGGCACGAUUUUUUUGGAUUCGCAUGAAAGGAGAAAAAGAGUCCAGUCCCAGAAGAUGAACAGGAGAAGAGGCCUUUAUUUCUUUUUUUCCCUUUUCCCCUUUUCUCUCAGCGUAAUUGAAGAGUGAGAUGAGAGUAUCUUUUUCUUUUUUUUUCUUUCGCUAUCCAGCGUGAGAGAGUAUUCGUGAGUGGAGAGAGAAAUGAGUGAGUGGAGGGUCUAAUCUGUUUUUUUUUGUCUUUUUCUUUUUUCAUUUUUUUUAAUGUCCGAGAGAGGUGAGUGUUAGUAGGUUUUUAUCAGUGGGUGAGUUGAG